rnacentral:rRNA from 1 species
AAUAUUGGACAAUGGGGGCAACCCUGAUCCAGCCAUGCCGCGUGUGUGUAGAAGGUCUUCGGAUUGUAAAGCACUUUCAGUUGGGAGGAAGGGCUUUAGGUUAAUACCCUGAAGUUUUGACGUUACCAACAGAAUAAGCACCGGCUAACUCUGUGCGAGCAGCCGCGGUAAUACAGAGGGUGCAAGCGUUAAUCGGCAUUACUGGGCGUAAAGCGGGCGUAGGUGGUUCAAUAAGGUGGGUUUGAAAUCCCCGGGCUUAACCUGGGAACUGCUUUCAUAACUGCUGAGCUAGAGUACGGUAGAGGGUAGUGGAAUUUCCUGUGUAGCGGUGAAAUGCGUAGAUAUAGGAAGGAACACCAGUGGCGAAGGCGACUACCUGGACUGAUACUGACACUGAGGUGCGAAAGCGUGGGGAGCAAA